rnacentral:rRNA from 1 species
CGAAUGCCUGACGGAGCAACGCCGCGUGAGGGAUGAAGGCCUCUGGGCUGUAAACCUCUUUUCUCAAGGAAGAAGAUCUGACGGUACUUGAGGAAUAAGCCACGGCUAAUUCCGUGCCAGCAGCCGCGGUAAUACGGGAGUGGCAAGCGUUAUCCGGAAUUAUUGGGCGUAAAGCGUCCGCAGGUGGCCUCGUAAGUCUGUCGUUAAAGCGUGGAGCUUAACUCCGUUUAAGCGAUGGAAACUGUGAGGCUUGAGUGUGGUAGGGGCAGAGGGAAUUCCCGGUGUAGCGGUGAAAUGCGUAGAUAUCGGGAAGAACACCAGUGGCGAAGGCGCUCUGCUGGGCCAUCACUGACACUCAUGGACGAAAGCUAGGGGAGCG